AGAGUUUGAUCAUGGCUCAGGAUGAACGCUAGCGGCAGGCUUAAUACAUGCAAGUCGAGGGGCAGCAGGGUGUAGCAAUACACUGCUGGCGACCGGCAAACGGGUGCGGAACACGUACGCAACCUUCCUUUAAGUGAGGAAUAGCCCAGGGAAACUUGGAUUAAUACCUCGUAAGAUUAUGAGAUGGCAUCGUCUUAUAAUUAUAGCUCCGGCGCUUAAAGAUGGGCGUGCGCCUGAUUAGGUAGUUGGCGGGGUAAUGGCCCACCAAGCCUUCGAUCAGUAACUGGUGUGAGAGCACGACCAGUCACACGGGCACUGAGACACGGGCCCGACUCCUACGGGAGGCAGCAGUAAGGAAUAUUGGUCAAUGGACGCAAGUCUGAACCAGCCAUGCCGCGUGGAGGAUGAAGGUCCUCUGGAUUGUAAACUUCUUUUAUCUGGGAAGAAACCCAUGUUUUCCAACGUGGUUGACGGUACCAGAUGAAUAAGCACCGGCUAACUCCGUGCCAGCAGCCGCGGUAAUACGGAGGGUGCAAGCGUUAUCCGGAUUCACUGGGUUUAAAGGGUGCGUAGGCGGGUUGGUAAGUCCGUGGUGAAAUCCCCCAAGCUUAACUUGGGAACUGCCGUGGAUACUAUCAAUCUUGAAUAUCGUGGAGGUAAGCGGAAUAUCAUGUAGCGGUGAAAUGCUUAGAUAUGACAUAGAACACCAAUUGCGUAGGCAGCUUACUACACGAUCAUUGACGCUGAGCACGAAAGCGUGGGGAGCAAACAGGAUUAGAUACCCUAGUAGUCC
rnacentral:rRNA from 1 species